rnacentral:rRNA from 1 species
UGGUGGAGUGAUUUGUCUGGUUAAUUCCGUUAACGAACGAGACCUCGACCUGCUAAAUAGUUUGGCGAACUCUUCUGGGUUCGUACUAACACUUCUUAGAGGGACUAUCGGUGUGUAGCCGAUGGAAGUUCGAGGCAAUAACA